rnacentral:lncRNA from 1 species
CUCUGUUCACGGAAAGGGCCUGGGAGCUGCAACACCUCAACAGCAACAAGCACACCUGCUACCUAGAACUUGGUUUCUAAAAACCAUCCUCCUCUAAAAGGAAACAGAGCUCUUUGAAGAAAUGGUAUUGUAAUAAUACUGCGUGACAUUACGGACAACUUAGCCUAAAUUACGGAAAAUCAAAUUAUUUAGUAGAACUGCAAGACAAUCCUCUCGGUUGUUGUACAGAAGGUAAGCAUGAGCAAAUCACUUUUUAGAGGUAACUUUGCUGGACUUGUGAAGAAUGGUGUGCAAGGUCCAGAGCGACUGCAGGAGAGGGAAGGUGGGAUUCCCACAGAGCAGGAGCACAGAUGAGCCAAGCAAGGCCCUGCUUAGAAGGCAGCAAUCAACAGAGAUGCACAGACCUGUGAGGGUGCCGGGACAGCCAUGCAACAAUGCAGCCCUUUUGCUUCCUAAGGUCACCAGUUCCCUCGCUCCACCUCUGAGAGGUGGUUUGGAGAAACACAGCCCUUCUCAAGAGGGUUGCAAGCUACUUAAGUACUGAAAAUUUCCACAAGGCUGAGUCAAAUCUGCAUUUCAUCAUCUAUAAGAAAGGUACCUAUCGAGAACACCCUGCUGGCCAGUGUGUAAAUAUCUAAAGGAGGACUCAGAAAACACCGGGGAAGUCCAGCCUGCACGUGGUGGCUGGGCUUCAGUGAAGCAUGGAGCACAACAGGAGUUGUAAGUAGUAGUUACAUCAGCAGCCCUGGAAAUUCUGCUCAGGACCAAACUGAACAAAUAACAUUAUCUAAAGCUUACAAUUAUUUAACUCCCUAAAUUUUCUGUCCUCCCAGUAGCACUUUCAAAUGCCUAAAAGCAAUUAAAAGAAACAUUUUUCCAAUGUCUCACAGAACCAUUAGAACACAAAAUUAAUAGCUUCAUAAACUAUAGCUUCUAUGUUAUCCAUAAUAGAAUGAAGGUGCAUAAACCACAUAGUAAUUAAUCUUUGGACAAAAGCAAACAAUAAAUGGAAUAUAUGGCUAA